rnacentral:rRNA from 1 species
UUCGCAAUGCCCGAAAGGGUGACGAAGCGACGCCGCGUGGGUGAGGAAGGCCUUCGGGUUGUAAAGCCCUGUCAGGAGUUAAGAAAUGUAGAUACGCCAAUAUCGUAUCUAUUUGACAAAGGCUCCAAAGGAAGCCACGGCUAACUCUGUGCCAGCGGCCGCGGUAAUGCAGAGGUGGCAAGCGUUGUUCGGAAUUAUUGGGCGUAAAGAGCACGUAGGUGGAUUUGUAAGUCAGACGUGAAAGCCUUCUGUUCAACGGAAGAAUUGCAUCUGAAACUACAAACCUUGAGUGUAGGAGGGGAGAAUGGAACUUCUGGUGGAGCGGUGAAAUGCGUAGAUAUCAGAAGGAACGCCGGCGGCGAAAGCGAUUCUCUGGCCUAUUACUGACACUCAGUGUGCGAAAGCUAGGGGAGCAAACGGGAUUAGAUACCCCGGUAGUCCUAGCCGUAAACGAUGGGCACUAAGUAGAGGGGUUUUA